GUGCCAGCAGCCGCGGUAAUACGUAGGCAGCAAGCGUUGUUCGGAGUUACUGGGCGUAAAGGGUGUGUAGGCGGUUCUCUAAGUCUGGUGUGAAAUCUCCCGGCUCAACUGGGAGGGUGCGCCGAAAACUGGAGGACUAGAGUGCGGGAUGGGAGAGUGGAAUUCCUGGUGUAGCGGUGAAAUGCGUAGAUAUCAGGAGGAACACCUGUGGUGUAGACGGCUCUCUGGACCGCAACUGACGCUGAGACACGAAAGCGUGGGUAGCAAACAGGAUUAGAUACCCUGGUAGUCC
rnacentral:rRNA from 1 species